ACCGGAGCAGCAACACUGUUCGCCAGUGAGUCCUUAAGCUAUAGUGGUGUAAACUUGUUGACGAAAAGUCCCAGUGUGACCGGCGUGAGAGUAAUUGUCCGGAUUCCAAAGUUUUCUGUUUUUUGAUCCAAGAGACUUCCAAUAGCGCUUUGAGAUUCUGUGGAAUGACGCAGAGAAGUCAUGAAACAAUUCGUAGUCUUCUUCGAGGGCUACCACUCGGAACGAGUUACGAGAUUCCAUGGCAAGAUGAACCGAAUAACGAAGAAGCGUUUCAUGAGGUCAAUGAUAUCCAGGAUGCAGACGAAGAUACCGGGCUCGGCCACAAAGGCGAAAUUCCAAUGGAUGUCGAAUAUGAUUCAUACGAAGAGCAGGCACAGCACGCGCAAGGACCAUUGCAUGGUCAGUUUGCGAUAGAAGGAAAAAAUAAUUACAAGUGGUACGCGAAUAAUUCGGAAAUACCAGUGCUACAGGUGUCAGAAAUUUCUUUUGCUAAACCGAAUGGCGAUGCGAAGAAUAUCAGAACACCACUCGAAGCAUGGAGUUUACUUUUUUCAAACGACUUAUUGGAUAUAAUCGUUCGGCAUACAAAUGAAGAAAUCCGAAGAAGAGCCGAGUACAAGAUUGAAGACCUUUAUCGAGAGACAAAUUUGGUGGAAUUAAAAGCCUUGCUGGGAUUAUUAUACUUCACCGGAUUGGUAAGACAGAACCCCCCCUCCGAGGAUUUGUGGAAACCACUAUUUGGAAUCGUUUCGUUCGCAUCUGCAAUCAAAAAACGUCGAUUUUAUUAUUUGUUAGCAUGUCUUACUUUCGACGAUGAGGCAACCAGAGUCGAACGACGAAAAGCGCACGAAUUAGCGCCUAUAAAAGAAAUUUGGGAUCUAUUUAUUUUGAAUUGCACACGAAACUAUUUUCCAUCUAAUUGCUGCACGAUUGACAAGCAGUUUCUAAAAUUCCACGGACAAUUUUGUUCGAAAGUCUACGUUCCUGAUAAACCAAACAAGUGUGGUAUAAAAAUCGUAUGCAUGAACGAUGUACAAACUUCGUAUUUAAUAAGCGCGGAGCCCUACGCAGGACGGAUUCCAACUCUCGCAGGUGAAUCUGUGCCGAACUAUUACGUGCGAAAAUUAUCAGAAUCAAUUCAUCAUACGGGGCGAAAUAUCACAUGCGAUAAUUGGUUCAUGUCCGUCGAUCUUGUUCGAGAAAUGAAAAUUCACUACAACCUGAGCAUGGUUGGCACUCUACGAAAAAGUAUGUGCGAAAUACCACCAUCGUUCACGCAAAACGCGACUCCUGGUACUGUUCGCUUCGGUUUCGCCGAAGGAAAUACCUUAGUUUCAUAUUGCCCGGGUAGUAAAAAAGUCCUUAUAUUAUUAUCAAGUUUUCACAAAACCGGACUAGUGAACGUUGUUACCGGAUCACCAGAAAUUCUAGAUUUUUACACCCGCACGAAAGAAGCCACCUAUAGAUUCGAUCAGAUGUGCCAGGCUUACACCACUGUUCGCCAUACUUCAAGGUGGCCGCUAAGAAUAUUUUUUGCGGAAGAGAAUAUGGCAGACCUCAGAACACACUGUAAAAAAAAUUGGAAGAGUCGAGAUUCGUAAAUUCUCUCGCGAAGAAGGAAAUACAGGAAAACAAAGGGGUUCGGACGUAUACGACGUUAAUAGAAAAAUCAUCGGAGCAAGUUCUCCAGCUGCAUCCAACAUCGGGCGUAUGGGAAAAGGACAAGAUCAACCGAAAGAUAAAAUUGUCUAAGAGGACAAAG
rnacentral:misc_RNA from 1 species